CCUGAUCAGCCAUGCCGCGUGCAGGAUGACGGCCCUAUGGGUUGUAAACUUCUUUUGUAUAGGGAUAAACCUAGAUACGUGUAUCUAGCUGAAGGUACUAUACGAAUAAGCACCGGCUAACUCCGUGCCAGCAGCCGCGGUAAUAAAAUA
rnacentral:rRNA from 1 species